UCUGGUUGAUCCUGCCAGUAAGCAUAUGCUCGUCUCAAAGACUAAGCCAUGCAUGUCCCGAGUUCAUACAUUGCCAUUGUGAGACUGCGGAAGGCUCAGUAUAUCAGUUAUAAUCUGUUUGAUUGUACGUCCCAAUGGAUAACCGUGGGAAAUCUAGAGCUAAUACAUGCAACCUACUGGCGUGGGGCCUGCCUCAAACCGGGCUCCGCCCAGGGCAUUUAUUAGAUGAAAACCAACUGCGGUGCGGGCAACCGUACUGCAAGGUGAAUCUGGAUAACUUUGCCGAUCGUAUGGCCUUGUGCCGGCGACGUUUCAAUUGAAUUUCUGCCCUAUCAACUUGUUGGUAAGGUAGUGGCUUACCAAGGUGACAACGGGUAACGGGGAAUCAGGGUUCGAUUCCGGAGAGGGAGCCUGAGAAAUGGCUACCACAUCCAAGGGAGGCAGCAGGCGCGCAAAUUACCCAAUCCAGACACUGGGAGGUGGUGACGAGAAAUACUGGCUGGCAUCCCAUAAGGAUUGCUAUGCCGGAAUGGACGUAAUUUAAGAAAUUCGAUGAGCAACAACUGGAGGGCAAGUCUGGUGCCAGCAGCCGCGGUAAUUCCAGCUCCAGUAGUGUAUCUUAAAGUUGCUGCGUUUAAAACGCUCGUAGUUGGAUCACGCAGCGUCAGUUGGUUGACCGACAGAGUGUCGCGCAAAAGCCGACUGGCGUUCGCCGCUGCGCAGUCAAACUGUUGUGGUGGUGGGCGUCGGUUCGGUGUGGCGCCUGUCGGUUUUGAGCCAGCUGGCGUUACUUACGCGUGAGGAUGGUGGCUGACCUUUAGUGCGUCGGCCAUUGUGUCUCACGGGGUGUGCCUUGAAUAAAUCAAAGUGCUCCAAGCAGGCUUACGCUUGAAUGUUAAUAGCAUGGAACGAACAACUGUGUUUUUGCGCCGCGACUGGCUACCUGCAUGGGCUAUGUCUGUGUGGGAUGGUCGGAUGUGGUGCAGCACCAACCUUCAAUUGCCGGAUGUUGGUUUCCGCGUUGGGGUGAUGAUUAAGAGGAGCGGUUGGGGGCAUUGGUAUUUGGCCGCGAGAGGUGAAAUUCUUGGACCGGCCAAGGACUAACAAAUGCGAAAGCAUCUGUCAAGACCGUUUCCAUUGAUCAAGAACGAUAGUGAGAGGUUCGAAGACGAUCAGAUACCGUCCUAGUUCUCACUGUAAACUAUGCCGACCCGGGAUCAGUUUUGAGCCCUAUAACGCUCGUGGUUGGUCCCCCUGGGAAACCUCAAGUUUUUAGGUUACGGGGGGAGUAUGGUUGCAAGGCUGAAACUUAAAGGAAUUGACGGAAGGGCACCACCAGGGGUGGAGCCUGCGGCUUAAUUUGACUCAACACGGGAAAACUCACUCGGUCCGAACAUCGAGAGGAUUGUCAGGCUAAUAGCCCUUAUUCAGAUACGGUGGUUGGUGGUGCAUGGCCGUUCUUAGUUCGUGGAGUGAUCUGUCUUGGUUUAUUCCGGUAACGAACGAGACCAUGGUCUUCAUUUGUGGAGCUGGAGAAGGUCGUGCUGACCACGGUGCUGCGCGAGUGGUGUCGUGGCCUGUGCGGCUGUUGGCGGGGCUCAGAUGGGGUCUCUCAUUGCCGUUGGCCUGAGGUGUAGUUGUAUGACACUAAGGGUCAGCGGUGGUGGGUGGUUCCACCGGGGUUUCUCCUCCAGUGAGACAGCGUUCGGUUAACUCCGGGUGUUGUGCCAUGGAGAGACAACUGGGUAUUCGAAAGCCAGAGGAAGUCAUGGCAAUAACAGGUCUGUGAUGCCCUUAGAUGUUCGAGGCCGCACGCGCGCUACAAUGAUAACAACAGCGAGUAUCUGGGUCGAGAGACUUGGGAAAUCUUUCAAUUGUUAUCGUGAUGGGGAUUGACCGUUGUAAUUGUCGGUCAUGAACUAGGAAUCCCUAGUAUGUGCAAUUCAUUAGAUUGUGCAGAUUAAGUCCCUGCCCUUUGUACACACCGCCCGUCGCUACUACCGAGUGAAUGGUGUCAUGAUGCAUUGGGACCGGACGCGACCUAUGGUUUCGGUCACUGGUUGUGCUGGGAUCAAUGUAAAAUGGCGCAAUUUCGAGGAAGUAAAAGUCGUAACAAGGUUUCCGUAGGUGAACCUGCGGAAG
rnacentral:rRNA from 1 species